UUUUCCUGUCCUUGAGAAAGAAACCUAUACUGAAAAAAAAAUUCCUUUCCUGUCAUUAUGGUAUAGUUUCAAGAGGGAGUGAGGAAAAAUCGGCAUCCAAAACAACAUAUUUAACUCCAUAGUUACACAUAGUUCUAAUAUAUCUGGAAGUACCCACAAGGAACUUAAGGAUGGUUAUCUUUGAAGAUGGGGGCGUGGUUAUAUUUAAUGAGCUGUUAUUGAACUAUUAGAGUAUUGUUAGCAUGGGUAUGUUUACUUUUUAAGAAAAGCACAUUUUUAACACUUAGGAUCUCAGUCUGGUAAAAGUGGGAAUAAAUCAUGAAGGCUAUGUAUUCGGUGAAUUUAUUCACCAAAUCUAGAGUUAGACUACUUCUUGAAGUGGGAAGAGAUGGUUUGAAGAAAAAAUAAAAGUAUUACGGUGAUUGUAAAUUUGUGGAACUACCACACAGUUUAGGUUUGGAUGGUAGGACUGCAGAAGGAAAGAAUUGAGAAAGGAACAUCAGGGGGAAUCAGUUACUCGGUUCAAAAAGGUAAAGAUGGCAGCUACACUCUCUGACACAGUAUAUUCUGGUCACAUUUACCAUCAGAGACAAAUGAACUUGAUUAUUAAUCUAAUUCAGUAUGGCAUUUCCUAUAUGUGUAUUAUUUAGGAAUGAAGCAAGUAGCUUAAAGGUAAGCACAUUAGUCUGCUAGCAGAUUUUAAACUGAGGUAAAAUAAGAGUUUAGGACAGAAUAAAAGACAGUAAAGAUAUUUUGAGUGUAUGCUAUAUCAUGCUUUUGCAAGCUCUAGGUGCUAUAAGAGUUAAAUAUUUAAGCUGAAAAAUCUAUGAAAAGCACCCUGAAAAUCUAUACUUUUUUAUGCCAUUGCUCUUUGGUGCUAAGAGUUUCUCAAGUAAGUGAGUAUCUUAUGUACCAUUUGUGCUGUAAUAUUUAAUUACAGUGAGUGUACAGAAGAUUAGCUGUCACAAAGAAUCUUUUGAAAUCAGAUUGCACAUCAAAACUACAUUGUGCCCUGCUAAGUAGGCAAAUUUAAGAAAGAGGAGAAAGUGAUGUCAAGACGUAUUGCAAAAUGAACAAAUAAAGCAAUAGGAUUUGCUUGUUGUUCAGCCUAUUAAAGCACAGCCAAAUGUCAGCCUUCAUUUGUCAACUUAAAUAUGUUUUUUCUAAAAUUUAUAAAGAUUCAGUCUAUGGAAAGUAUCCUUUACUAUUUGGACUGAGAAGUAAAUUAAGCAAAAGGAAAUACUAAAUAGAUUAUGCUACUAAUUCAGUUUCUCAUAGUGAUAAAUUGCCACAUAAAGAUGUAUGUUAGUAAUUCAGAUAGAGAUAUUUAUUGCCUUUUAUUUUUGUUAUUUGACUGAUUAGCAAAUUAACAUAUGUGUUUUUGCUCCCAGAUAUGUGAGGUUUUAAAAGCUUAGGUUAAUUUCUGCUCCACAAUAGCUAAACCCCAAAUACAAUGUACACUGAACCAUUUCUAGUGUCCUGUGAUUUCUUCCCUUCAAAAACAAAAAACAAAAAAGGGGUAAAAAUAAUUUUUUAAAAAAUCUAAGUGCUGAGCCCCAAGUAGCCAGGAGUGGAAACUAUCAGUUUAGAGCCUGAAUUGGACUUGCUAGAAAUCACCAGGAACCAGACCACAUAAGGGGAGGCUCCUCAGCUAGAGCAACAGAGUUCACAGAUGGUUGGAACUGGAAUGGUUGGGAGCCUGCGGGCUUUAUGGAGAGGAGAGAUUGCCCUGAAGCCAGAGUUCUCUACUGACAGUGUGUGAGCAUAAUCAGCUUUGAAACAGCAGUGAGGGAGAGGACCUGAAUGGGCCCUCCUCUUCUGAGUUAAAACUUUUAAGGGAAUCCCAAAAGUUCCUGAGAUCAGUGUACACACACACACACACACACACACACACACACACACACACCAGAAUGAAGCAGAAGAAACUAUCCCAAAAGAGUCUUACAUGAUAAUCAAGCAUAAACUUUAAAAGAAUUCAACCAAAUCCAGAUAAAGGUAGCCACUAUGAGUGAAAAUCAAAGGCAACAAUACAUUUAGACUGCAGAAAAUGCAUAUGUUGGAACUGAAUACAAAAUACAGAAUACAGGCUAUAUGUGAAAUUAACUUUGAAAUUUCAAAAAUUGUUACACAAAAUGAGAAAACUGUAGGGAUUAAACAGAUACACUUAUGAGAUAGAAUUUCUAGAAAUAAGCAUUUGCUGAAAUCAAAACCUCCAUUGGAGAGCCAUGACUAUUAGACUUAUCCUUCUACCAUAAACAACUACGACAUUGCACAACAAAUAAUUCAGGGCCUUGAUCCUUGAAAGAAGGGAAAACUAUGUGGUGGAACUCUGCAUUCAGUGGCUUUCUUCCUGGAAGGGCUUUCCAAACUACAGCAGAAGUAAGUGGAGCCCAGACAAAAAAGAGUUGCAUGGGAUGGCAGAAAUGGGACCAGAGUUAAGAAUAGCUCAAGUAGCUGGCUGAAAUUUAUGGGACAGAGUACCAGGGAAGGGGAGCUGUGCAGAAAAGAAGCACCAAAAAUCUGCAUAGGGGUACUGUUAAGUCUGACUGAAUACUAAGCUGUACGUAAGCAAGGCAAGACUUCAUGGGGCACGGCAGAAAACAGUCACUGGAGGUCCCAUAGUGCUGGGAGCCAUCAGUGUUCAAAUCAGCCAGUGUGUGAAGGUCUCACUGAACAACCCAAGCAUUAAGUAAAGGUCACAGGUUAGGGGUAAGGCUACUGUACCUCUAAAGUAAAGACAACUCUUGACCUAUCCUAAAAUUAAACCUUGACAGGACCAAGCUAUCCUAUCAGUACCGCAGCUACCUGCCAGAACAAAACUCAAUACCUGCACAGGAAGACAGCAAAUUCCUACUGUCAACAGUGUAGUAUCCAUAACAUCCACUAUAAAGUAAGCCAAUAUUAGGCUAAGCAGGAAAAUGUGACCCUUAAAAAGGGGAGAAAGUCAUUCAUAGAAAAAGGCCCAGAGGUGACCCACAUAUUUGAAUUAGCAGAUAAAAACUUUAAGAACUAUUAUAAACAUGUUCAAGGGUUUAAGUAAAAAUAAUAGCAUAAUAGGUAAAGAGAUGGUAAUUACAGACAGAACAAUGAAAACUAUAAAAACCAAAUGAAAAUUUUAGAAUUGAAAAAUACAAUACUUGAAAUAAAAAUUCAUUCUGUGAACCUAAUAGAAGAUUGGAGACAGAAGAAAUGAUCAGUAAACUUAAAGGCAGGGAAAUACAAGCUAUCCAAACUGAUGCACAAAAGAAAAAACUAUUGAGGAAAAGAAAAGAAUAGCACCUCAGUGAACUAUGGAACCACACAAAACAGACUACUGUAAGUGUAAUUGGAGAUCAAGAAGAGGGGAAGAGGGUGGGAGAGUAAAAGAAAAAUUGAAAAAGUACUAACCAAAAUUCUUCCCAAAUUUGAAGAAAUGUGUAAGAGUUUCAAGAAGUUUAACCCCAAACAAACCCACAUCUGUUCAUAUCCUAAUUAAAUGGCUAGAAAGCAAAAACAAAAAUUUUUUUUCAGAGACAAAAGAUAUAUACAAGGGUAAUGAUAAGAAUCAGUGCUGACUUAUCAGUAAUAAUGGAGAACAGAAGAUAAUUGUAUAACAUCUUUAAAUGGUGGAAAGAAAAAAGUGUUAAACUGGAAUAGUAUAUUCAGUAAAAUAGUCUUUUAAAAUAAUGGUUAUAUAAAGACACCUUCCGAUAAAUACUGUCGGAGAGAAUGUAACCAGCAGACCUGCACACUGGAAGAGUUAAAAGAACUUCUUUAGGCAAUUGGGGAAUGAAACUAGCCAAAAAUUUUGAUACAUACAAAAUAAAGUUCACCACGUAAAUGAUAAAUGUUUAGUAAAAUAUACAAUGUUUUCCCUUAAGUGUAUAAAAAGGCAAUUGAGACUAGGCGCGGUGGCUCACACCUGUAAUCCCAGCACUUUGGGGGACUGAGGCGGUGGGUCGCCUGAGGGUAGGAAUUCAAAACCAUCCUGGGCAACAUGGUAAAACCCCAUCUCUACAAAAAUACAAAAAUUAGCCGGGCGUGGUGGCGCAUGCCUGUAAUCCCAGCUACUCAGGAGGCCAAGGCAGAAGAAUCACUUGACUGAGGUGGAGGUUGCAGUGAGCCGAGAUCGCACCAUUGCACUGCAGCCUGGGAGCAAGACUCUGUCUCAAAAAAAAAAAGAGAAAAAGAAAAAGGCAAUUGACUCUUUAAAAUGAAAAUAAUGCAUUGCUGCGUUUAUCAUUAAAUUAUUUGGUAAUAUCGCAAAGGACAGAAAGGGGUAAAUAGAAGUAUACUGUUGUAAGAUUGUAUUGUAGGUGCAAUGGCAUAGUAUUAAUUCAGUUAAUAUAGAUUGCGACCCAUAGAACCGUAAGUGAGUUAAAAUGCAGUAAUUUUUUUUAAAUGGCUAACCCAUAACGCAGGAAAGGAGGAAACAAAAAAAUGGGUACAACAAAUAGAAUAAAAUAGCAAAGUGAUUACAUAAAUUCAACCAAAUUAGUAAUUAAUGUUAAAUGUAAGUUCACUAAACAUUCCAACUAAAACUCAGAUGUUAAUCAGUUUUUAAUGAAGAUUAUCUGCUGCCUUGAAAAUAUGUAUUUUAUAUAUAAAGACAUGGAUAGAGUACAUGUAAAAUGAUAGAGAAAAAAGAUCCUAUGUAAACAGUAAUAAGAAACUGGAGUGGCUGUAUUAACAUCAGACAAAAUGAUGCCAAGACAAGGAGUAUUACCAGAUGUAGUAGUUGGGGUCCAGUUAGGAGACAAAAACCACCAUUUAAACAAGGAAAUUUUAAUGUAAGAAAUGAUUAGAAUAAUGGCAAAUUGACUAGUGAAAGUUAAGAUAAUUUUAACAAAUAAAAGACUAGCAGGUAUCAGGAGCAACCGUUAUGGCUAAGACUGAGAUAGAGCUCCCAAUAUAGAGCUUUCCCCCUACUAGGGCUGAAAUCCAGAUGUCUUUGGAAAGGGCACACCUUUGAUUCACUGGAUAGUGGAGAAGUCACUAAGGUGCCUCGUAAGUGGGAGCAUAAGUGGGAGUUGCUAGAAGUUUCUGGGGUGCCAGGGGGGCCAUCCACAGAAAAGUGGAGUCUUAAAUCAUCAGAGUGAACUCCCUGAGUGUCAGAGGGAGCUGGUGGUGGCUGGGCACUGCUGGAACCGAAAUCUGGAGAAGCAGCCCUCUAGGAGCCCAGCAUGCCUGCAGGACGGCCCUGGGAUUCUAGGACUGAAAAGAUGUGGGGAGCAGUGACUUGGUUUGGUGUGCAGGCCCAUACCAUCUGGGAAAUCCCGGAUAAUCUCCAGCUGAACACUUGAGAAAAUUGCAGCCUGCAGCAUGGGAGAAACCACACAGGGAAUAAGCAUGCAGGGGAGGGUGGAGUGUGCCCUACAACAGCCUAGAGAGUGAAUCAUACCAGAACCAGGAAAGGAAAAUCCCUUCCUCCUCCAGCGUCCUCCAGAACCCUCUACUGACAAGGUUUAACACUCGGCUAGCUAGCAAAGGAGAAAUAUUUCCAAAAUCCAUCUUCAUUUAUUACAAAGUAGGCCAAAAUAUGGUGAAUUUGGAGCUAAGAGGAAAUACAUCAAUAAACAGCAUAGUCUGCCCCUUUGAGUACUCACUGUCCAUAUAUACCUUCUACGCACACUUGAAUGCCAUACAAUAAUAACUCUACAUUUCACCUAACAGGAUACUCAUCAUCUCCAAAAUGAGGAGAUGCAACAAUCAUUGCAUACAGUGCUGUGGCUAUAUUAAUUGCCCUUUAGAAUCAUCACAGUUCCACUGGAUAGUCUGUUGCCCAAAGACUAAUUGUGAAUUUAACCUCUAGCAACUUGCAUAUAAAAUUUUUGUUAAUAGAAGGGAGCAAGAAGAGGAAAAUGUGAGCAUAUAUACAUAAGUACAUACACAUGAAAAGCAAAAAAGGAAAUAUUCAAAAUGACUACAGCCCUUUUUUCUGCAGUUGGUCACAAGGCCCUAAUUUUUACUUAUGGCUUCCUUCUUCUACUGUUCAUUGAUUUCGCCCACCUCCAGCCAGAACCUGGUAGAGUAAUUCAAACUCUCAUUCCUGAAAGUUCCAAGUCCUCAAUUAUCCUGCCUUUUAUUUUGGUUUCUGUACUUUUCUACUACACUUUUCUAUUGCAUAUGGAGUACUAAUAUACACCCCAAACUGUCUCCUGGGUUACAGACAUAGUCUUCCUUGCCCCUAAUGUAUAAAGGCAACCCAGUUUCCUCUUGGCAAUAGGGAUCAGUCACUCCACCUAGUAGAGCAAUCCACCUUUCUGCCUGUUGAUUCAGUAGCAUGAGGAGUCCAGAAUAGCCAAAUGGAAAUCUUUCUCCAAUUCAGUGGAACCAUUGUGUCUCAUGGUGGAAACCAUGUUCCCUUUAAGAACUCAGAUCUCUGAAAUGGCAGAGCUCAAAGAUGCCAGAAGCAGCAGCAAAUAUUCUGCAAGUGUGUUAUUAGGUGUUGCUACGGUCUGAAUGUUGGUGACCUCCCAAAAUUUAUAUGUUGAAAUCUAAUCACAAACGUAAUAGUAUUAAGAAAUGGGGCCUUUAGGAAGUGAUUAAGUCAUGAGAGUGGAACCCUCAUAAAUGAGAUUAGUGCCUUGGUAAAAGAGGUGCAAGGGAACUGUUCACCCCUUCCUCCAGGUGAAGAGCCACAAGAAGAUGCCAUAUUGGAAGCAGAAAGCAAGCCCUCGCCAGGCACUGAAUCUGCUUGAUCUGGGACUUCCCAGCAUCUAGAACUGUAAGAAAUAAGUUUCUGUUGUUUAUGAAUUACCCAGUAUAAGCUAUUUUGUUAUAGCAGCUGAAACAGACUAAGACAAAUAUAAUAGAGGAGCCAUUCUUUCAUCCUACUUUUGAUUCCUGAACCCAUGUAUUCUGGUUAUGAUGGGGAAAGUGCACUAUCUAGUUGUUUGUUUGUUUUUAAUUGGAGGAUUAGUCCAAUCAAACUGCUCCACUAUUAACAGAAGCUAGAAAUAAACCCCUUUGUUAUUGACAUUUUUUGCUAACCAUUAAGAUUUUUGUUAUUUAUGGGUUAUCUAUUUCUGUCUUUUGCCACAUAUAUUUUUUUAAAUCUGUUCAUUCACUUUCUUUGUAUAUCAAAUAUAUAGAUCAUUUGGCUGUCCUAUAAGUUGCACGUAUUCUUCCAGUGUAUUAUUUCAGUUUUAUUUAUAUAUAUAUCUCAAAGAUUUUCAUUUUUAUGUAUUUGGAUGUGAUCUUUUUAGUUGCCAUUUCCUUACUGCUUUUAAGCUUAGAAAUACCUCUUCCAAUUUAAUAAACUGUCAUAUAUUUUAUUGUUUCUAUUUUCUUUGCAUAUAACUAAAAAAAUCCACCUGGGACUAAUUUUGUUACCUGGUAAAAAAUGAGGACCUAGUUUGUUUGACCCACAAAUAUCUAACCAACUUAUCCAGCACUAUUUAUGGAAUAAUUCUUCCUUUUUGCCACCUAAUAUAAUGCAAAUUAUAUUUUAAAUAUUUAAAAAGAUUUUUACAUACCUAAAUCUAUUUCAGCAUACUCCUUGUGUGGGGAUGUAAAUAAAUAAACUAUUCUCUUCAUUUGGACUAUCUGGCUGUUCUUGUAACUACAUUGUUUUACUUACUUUAUAAUAUGUUAGACUAUUUUGUAAGACUAACGUGCCUCCAUCUUCAAUAGCCACAUGUAAAUUCCUCUUUUUAAUUUUUAAAAACUAUUCAUACUGGCUUAUCCUUUCAGAUGAAUAUUAGAAUUGUUUUAUCUUCUCCAAGUGAGAUUUUUAUUUACUCACUUUAAAAUUAUAAAUUAAUUUGGACUGAUUGACAAUUGUAUUAUGGUUCUCCAGAGAAACAGAACCAAUGGGAUGUACAUAAAGAGAUUUAUUGUAAGAAAUCGGCACAUGUGAUUAUGGAGGCUGACAAAUCCCAAGAUCUGCAGGGGGAGGUGGCAAGCUGGAGACUCAGGGGAGCAUGUCUUGAACCAGAGCCAAUGUGGGUUUCCACAGACCACGGGGCAAGACACGUUGACUUUACCUCCACUCAUAUCUGCUGUACAGAAAACCCAACAUGAUUAAUCUAGCCUACAAUUUGACAGAGACAGAAUUGAAUAUAAGCAGUUAUUCCUCAGGUGCCCCCAGUGAUUACCUGCUCUUCCAACAGAACAGAAAAGGUCUUAACGACCACGGGAUAAAGACACCAUUCUGUGUUUCAAGGCUGGAGUUAUCCAGGAAUAAAGCUAUAUCUUCAAGCACUGUUGGUUUAAAAUCUAAAUCUAAUAUUUAGCUUUAUGUAAAGGAAUUCGGACAUAGCAAUCUAAGUUUCUCCGUGCAUACCCUUUAAAGUAAUCAUGUAGAUAUCUACAUUUUCUGGAACAUGGACAGUCUGGUUGCAGACAAUGGUCUUCAUUCUCACAGUAGACACAGCGAAAAGAUGGUUUUUUACUCUUUAGAUUCAUCUUCAAAGGAAGAAAUCUCCUAGUACCAAAAACGU
rnacentral:lncRNA from 10 species